rnacentral:misc_RNA from 1 species
UUUCCGUAGGUGAACCUGCGGAAGGAUCAUUCAUAAUAAAGUGUUUUAUGGCACUUUUUAAAAAUCCAUAUCCACCUUGUGUGCAAUGUUAGAUCUCGUCAAUCUUGGCGAGGUUUUUAUACACCAACUCAUUCUUUAACUAAUUUGUCUGAAAAAUAUUAUGAAUACUUAAUUCAAAAUACAACUUUCAACAACGGAUCUCUUGGCUCUC